AUUCAGCUCAAAACUGAGAAAAGUAGUGACAGUAAACAAAGACACUGAGUAAAAAUGGUGAGUUUUGGAUUACCGCACGAACUUGUCAACCGUAAAUCAUUGUCAUAAUCACGAGAAAACAGAGAAAAGGACAGCAAUGGCUGUUCAAAGCCAUUCUUUGCUUCCAUGCUACCUGCGUUAUACGACCAGGUGGUUGAUGGAGCAAGAUCGAAAACGUUUUCGCCAUGUAGCAGAAUUUCUGGGAAUGUGUAAGGUGUCUUAAAAGUUCCAGAUAGAGCAAGCUGAGUGAAAUAAGUGUUGGAAACCCGAGAACCUUGACCGCAAGAAGAUUUCUCCAACGUUUUACACCUUAAAAUUGUACAGACUUGAAUGUAAAAGGUCCCUUCUUUGGUAUGUAAACCGUCGAACGCACCAAGUGCAAACAUCUCUGUGAAAUUAUCACGAGAAGUGUAAGUAGCCUUACAACAAAGCUCGUUGUGACAAACCCGUGCCUUCCCGCUUGAUUCUGUGAGAAGGAUAUAAUUAAAGUUGUCCCCAAAUGUAUCCGCAUGAAAGACGCCAUCACCCAUUGCUUGCGUCCCAUUAUACUUUUUGGAACUAUACAUGGGUGAGUUGUGUGACAAAGCAUUAUUUCGCAGGAUUUUUAGUUCAGACACCAAUAGUUUUCCUCCUUCUUCUUGACCUUUGACACUGUUGUUGUAGUAAUAGGCCACAGCUCCAUCUGGUGAGUAAAUGCCGCUUCCUUGGAAACGAUAUUGAGGGUUGUGCAUAUUAGCUGCCAGGAAGUUGAUGCCGAAGCCAGCAGCUACUGCGGAGUGGAACUGAAUUGCAGCAAAAAACGGAGGGGUGUCCAUCCAAGCAGUAGGAAAAACGAUGUUACUCACUUCUUUUUCUUUCAUCAAGACCACAACAGGGUUACGAAAAAGAAUAUCAAAACAAGUAAACACACCGAACGUUCCGAAAGGUGUUUCAAAAGAAACGGCUUCUUUCGAUGUUGACGGAUCAAACAUGAACUCGAAGAAUAAGUUGAUUUUGUGAUACUUUGCAAUAAGUGUCCCGUUGCUGUCGUACACAACGUCAGUGUUGAAUUGGUAAUGACCGUCUGCUGGACAGACAGUGUCGUCUGCUUGACAAGGCUGAUAGUCUCCCAUGUUGGCGACGAUCCAAAGAGAGUUGUUUUUGGCCAGACAGCUUAGAGUGUACUGUACCUCAGUAUUGGAGUACCUGUCAGGGACUUCGCACGGGUUCCAUUGCUCCUGUUUUGGGUCUGGUAUGUAUUCAAGGUAUGGACGAACGGAUUUUCUUGUGUGCCCAUUAUAAGUUAUCCCGUCCUCAGGAAACACUAUUAUGUCAACAUUCUGUAAUUAUUUUUGCAAAAGUUUUAAUAAACUGCAAAAUAUAU
rnacentral:sRNA from 1 species